GGCCUGGCUGGCCGGUCGGCCUUCUGGUCUGUACUGGUCAGGCUGGGUCUUUCCUUCUGGCGAGCCGUUAUGCGCUUCAUUGCGUGUGGCGGGGAACCAGGACUUUUACCUUGAAAAAAUUAGAGUGCUCAAAGCAGGCUUGCGCUUGAAUACAUUAGCAUGGAAUAAUGGAAUAGGACUCUGGUUCUAUUUUAUUGGUUUCUAGGACCGGAGUA
rnacentral:rRNA from 1 species